rnacentral:sRNA from 1 species
UAGGAAUAAAUACAUCAGUAAAGACCAAA